AUACGGGGGGUGCAAGCGUUAUUCGGAAUCACUGGGCGUAGAGGGCGCGCAGGCGGUUUGGUAAGUCAGAUGUGAAAGCCCGGGGCUCAACCCCGGAAGUGCAUUUGAUACUGCCUGACUUGAGUAUGGGAGAGGGAAGUGGAAUUCCUGGUGUAGAGGUGAAAUUCGUAGAUAUCAGGAGGAACACCGGUGGCGAAGGCGACUUCCUGGACCAAUACUGACGCUGAGGCGCGAAAGCGUGGGGAGCAAACAGGAUUAGAAACCCGGGUAGUCC
rnacentral:rRNA from 1 species